AGUGAACGCUGGCGGUAGGCCUAACACAUGCAAGUCGAACGGCAGCACAGUAAGAGCUUGCUCUUACGGGUGGCGAGUGGCGGACGGGUGAGGAAUACAUCGGAAUCUACUUUUUCGUGGGGGAUAACGUAGGGAAACUUACGCUAAUACCGCAUACGACCUACGGGUGAAAGCAGGGGAUCUUCGCACCUUGCGCGAUUGAAUGAGCCGAUGUCGGAUUAGCUAGUCGGCGGGGUAAAGGCCCACCAAGGCGACGAUCCGUAGCUGGUCUGAGAGGAUGAUCAGCCACACUGGAACUGAGACACGGUCCAGACUCCUACGGGAGGCAGCAGUGGGGAAUAUUGGACAAUGGGCGCAAGCCUGAUCCAGCCAUACCGCGUGGGUGAAGAAGGCCUUCGGGUUGUAAAGCCCUUUUGUUGGGAAAGAAAAGCAGCAGGUUAAUACCCCGCUGUUCUGACGGUACCCAAAGAAUAAGCACCGGCUAACUUCGUG
rnacentral:rRNA from 1 species